rnacentral:rRNA from 1 species
GACGAACGCUGGCGGCGUGCUUAACACAUGCAAGUCGAACGGCAAGGCCCUGCUUUUGUGGGGUGCUCGAGUGGCGAACGGGUGAGUAACACGUGAGUAACCUGCCCUUGACUUUGGGACAACUUCAGGAAACUGGGGCUAAUCCCGGAUAGGAGCUCCUGCUGCAUGGUGGGGGUUGGAAAGUUUCGGCGGUUGGGGAUGGACUCGCGGCUUAUCAGCUUGUUGGUGGGGUAGUGGCUUACCAAGGGAUUGGCGGGUAGCCGGCCUGGGAGGGUGACCGGGCUCCAUAGGACUGAGGGAGGGACCAGAGUGCUACGGGGGGCAACAGGCGGGAAUAUUACACAAUGGGACGGAGCCUGAGGAGACAACCUCGGGUGCGGGAAGACCGCCUUCGGGGUAAGAAACGCUUUCGGCUAAUACCAAGCGGUAGUGACGGUAAUGGGAGAAGAAGCACCGGCUAACUUCGUG